GGGAGCGCGCGCGCGCACCACGUUAUCUUCGAGAAUUGACGUCAAUGUAUGCGCUACUAUCGUCUCAUCGUUAAUUGUUUUCUGGGUGUAAUUGCAAGGCAAAUAGCCAGUGUGCCACCACGUGGUCGGACCCGUACACCGAAAGACUACCAGCGACGUUCUCUCUGUCUCUCUCUUCCUCUCUCUCUCUCUCUCCCUCUCUCGCUCUCGCUCUCGUUCUCGCUCUCUACUGCUUCUUCUUUUCGUUACGUCGAUUCCUAUUCCCCUCGACGAUGCCACGACCGGCUCGCAUACUCGCAGCCACGACCGUUAACACACGCUGACACUAUUCCAAAUUCCAAGCUACCGCAGUGUUUCGUUCAAUGAACAAAAAUCAAAUAUUCCACGUGCAAGGUCUGAAGAAUCUUGCAGUGGAAAAUGUCGAGUAUGGGAUGUAAAUUACUACCUACAACGAAGAGCAAAUGUUGGUUUUCACUUGGACUUAUCGAUAUAUGUGUGCCGCCAUGUUUUUCGCAUGCGAGUUUUGGAUAUAUCGAUCUUUGUCCCUUGGACAGGCAACCGUAGGUUUGCAUAAACUCGAAGGUUUAGUAUUUAGGGUUCUUUUUCGUACAAAAAUUUGUUCUGUGAUAAGUAAACGGUGUUGUAGGGUUCAGGGAAUUGAUAUUUGGAGAUAUGGAGUAGUUUCGAUAUAUUUUUGAAAUGUAAUAAAUUAUUGAAAGAUUCGGAUAUCAGUGGUAGUACAUAUGUGAAUAUGUGGUAAUCCGGUUGCUUACACAAGGGGCAACGCCGUCCUUUAUCCAAAAGGAGAAAAAUAUUUGUUAAAGAGUGGAUUUAGCAGUAAAGAGAUAUUACUUAUUAAUUAAUAUAGAUUGAAAUAAUAUUUUAGAAAUUAUCUCAACCGGUCCAAAAUUAAUAUAACAGGAUCUCAUAUAUUAUUAAACAAAGCAAGCCCUAUGUUCAGUAUAAUAUGCUGGAGCUUUUAAUCCGUGGAAUAGAUAUUAUCUCGAAAGCCGUAGCCCCAAUCAGAAAAUUAUCUUAAGACGCCUCGAGAGCGCGUCAUGAAGAGAUACGGUAUGCUCAAGAACGCUAUACGUAUUAGGAAGGAGUUGAGAGCACACAUGUAAUAAAAAGACAAUUAUUCUAGUGUCUCAGAAAAUAAAUCAUAAAUAGAAUGAAUCA